rnacentral:rRNA from 1 species
CCUACGGGAGGCUGCAGUAGGGAAUUUUGCGCAAUGGGGGAAACCCUGACGCAGCAACACCGCGUGAAUGUUAAGCCCUUCGGGGUGUAAAGUUCUGUCAAUAGGGACGAAUUUUGACUGUACCUAUAAAGGAAGCACCGGCUAACUCCGUGCCAGCAGCUGCGGUAAUACGGGGGGUGCAAGCGUUGUCCGGAAUCAUUGGGCGUAAAGCGUUCGUAGGCGGUAUGUCAAGUCUGAUGUUAAAGCCCGGGGCUCAACUCCGGUUCGGCAUUGGAUACUGGCAAACUAGAAUGUGGUAGAGGUAAAGGGAAUUCCUGGUGUAGCGGUGAAAUGCGUAGAUAUCACGAAGAACCCCGAUUGCGAAGGCAGCCUGCCGCAGCGUUACUGACGCUGAAGCUCGAAAGCGCGGGUAUCGAACAGGAUUAGAUACCCCUGUAGUC